AGAGAGAGAGAGAGAUGGGGAAUCAGAAGCAGAAGUGGACGACGGAAGAAGAAGAAGCCCUUCGAGCUGGAGUGGCAAAGCACGGCACUGGCAAGUGGAAGAACAUCCUCAAAGAUCCCGACUUUGCUCUUUCUCUGUCCCAACGCUCCAACAUUGACCUUAAGGACAUGUGUCACUCUCCUAUUCAUUUGAAAGUUAUAAGAAGUUAUGAA